rnacentral:lncRNA from 1 species
CUCUAUCAGAUGUGGGGUUAGGGAUGAAUUUUUUUCCAAUCUGUAGGUUGCCGGAAAUCCUAUACCUUCCUCUUUUCUCAGAUGUCAUGGAAAGGUGUAUGUUGUGGUUAUCUGUGCUGUUCCUGGACACAAGUGUUUCAUCUACACAGUGAUAUCUGGAAUAAGCUACACUGAACCCUAAAUUCCCUUACUGAUGUUUAUUAAAUUUUAUUGUGUACUAUGUAUUUAUUAGCUUAACCCAAAUAAAGCUAAUAUUUUCCUACUACAGUGCAAACCAAAGAUGGGAUUUUACUCAGAGUUGAAAUGUUAGAUUUUUAUAUUCUGUUUUUGGUUUUAUUUUGCUGGUUUUUCAAGACUAAGACUUCUCUGUGUGACAGCUCUGACUGUCCUGGAACUAUAUAGACCAGGCUGGCCUCAAACUCAAGAGAUAUGCCUGCCUCUGCUUCCCAAGUGCUGGGACUAAAGGUGUGCACCACCAACCACCUCCUGGCUAAGUUCUGUUUUGAUAUGUGUUCUUAUGUAGGCAAGGUUAGAUUCAAAUUUAAUGUAACCAAGGUUAGCCUUGAAUUUUGGCUCGCCUCCCCUCCUAAGUACUGAUAUCAUAGGCAUGUGCCACCAUGCCUAGCUAGGCUUUGAAAUUUUAAAAAGUAAUGACUUGAGGCAGGUACCUCAAUUUUCUAAUGGAAAGUGACAGGAUGUAUUCUCUUUCUCCAGAGCAUAGGCUUACUCUAAUUACUCUCUCCUGGAGAGUAAUGCUCCAGGAUCCUGUAAUCAAUUUCUUCUAAGCACAUAGGCCAUUUCCAGAAUAGCCAUGGUCCUAGAACAUGGAUUAACCUAGAUAGCCAAAACAGCACUCAGCAGCCAGUUCUGUCCAAACCAGAACUGACAAGAUCGACAAACCUACAUGGUAACCACUAAUGUGUCAAACAGCAACGCAAAAAUGGAGAGGAAGAACAGUUGGCUUAACUGUAAAAUCCUUGCCACACUUAGGAAAACAAAUUUGAAAGAACUAAAAUGUGUAGCCCCAACUACAGUGAACCAUCUAUUAGCUCGGUGCGGUAUUGUGGGGGAGGGGGGGGCUCUUCCUUUCAGCUAUCUUCUAAGUUGAUGACACUUGAGUGUUUUCCAAACUCUACAUGCUGGCUGGUCAGCCACUUUGGUAUACCUGAGAAACAAUUUCCAUUAAAGGAAGCUGCUACCGGACAAUGGGGCUGAGAUCAUCAGAAUGAAGGGUAGAAUCGAGUUUGAAAAUGACUUUCCUUAGCAGUUCAUGGUUCCCUGUACCCUUGUCAUCUGUUCAUUCAUGACACUUGGCAUCUAUGGGCUGGGCCUUUUUGAUAGCUACAGAAAAGGAACCCAGGGAAUCAAAACACUUGGUUCAACUCUUCUGUGCAGAACCCAUUAAUAGUAAACACUGACUUUAAAUGUGAACAGGGCAGGUUGUAGCCCAGUGGAAGAGUGCUUAUUCAGCAUGUACAAGCCCUGAUUUUAAUCCUCAGCAAUCCCAUUCCCCAGGAUCGGUGAACAAACAGUAUAAUAAAAGCUGUAUACACCGC